GCGGCGUCGGGUUGGAAAACCAGGAGAGCAUGGAGCUUUUUCGCUGGUCCGGCGCGGUCUCUUGCGUUCCUGUGGCGGGCACCUGACUCCCCAUGCCCGAGUACUGUCCUCAGGCGGAACGGCGUCUGCAGCGAGGAGCGGGGUUCCAGCAGGCUCGGCUGACGCGGUCCCUGGCAUUUCCCGUGCUGGCCCUGGGUCGCCCUCGAUGCUGCUUCCCGCUGGGAGCCUCCUUCUGACGGCGGAAAGGAGCUUCACCUGGGGCGGCCGGCGGGGAACGGAGAAGAAUCCACCGGGGAAGUGGACGGGGCUGGCUCCCGGGCCUGGCGCUGCGGCUCUCGGGCCGUCAGACCUCCCGCGGGUUGCGUCACUUUCCUCGGUUUUCUAGACAGCAGUUGUGGGGUUGAAUCCUUGCCGUGGUUUUGUAAGAAUUAAAUGAGAUAAUGAACGCGAACACCAAUCAUUGCUCUUUGUUGGGUGCUUCCUGUGGGCCUGGCAAUAUUAACAACACGAGCUCAUUCAUGCAUUCAUUUGCUACUCAGUGACUUUCCUGUCAAUACUGCAAGGUGCUGGAGAUGAGCCCCCACUCUUUGGUCAGUAAAACUGCCAAGAUCACCGACCUUGUGAAGACAUUUGAGGAUGAGAGAGACAGGGUCUCAAUCUGCCACCCAGCCUGGAGUGCACUGGCACCAUCAUAGCUCACUGCUGAUUCAAACUCCUAGGCUCAAGCAACUCUCCAUCUCAGCC
rnacentral:lncRNA from 1 species